GGCACGCGUCACUCUCGCUAAGGUACUCUUCCAAGGCCCGGUCCAGGUUGAACCUCUUGAGCUCGGCGCACGGAACCUCCUUCACCAGCUCGGACAGCCGCAUCAGCUGACCAAAGAAAUGUUGGCUCUCCCUGUGAUUUCCCUUCUUUCGCCUUGGCGCUGCAGAGAGGAAUUGAGCAAGAAGGCGUUCACCGAGGAGCAAUUGGUAGCAUCAUGAACAAGUUCCUGCCAUGUACUUUGAGACUGCUCCCUUAGCUUUCUCAUGAUCAUCCUCACACCACGAGGCAAGAUCUUGCAUGGGGUUCCACACCAAGGGUCAAUUGAUGGUCAUUUUGUGUGUGUUCCACUUUGGAACCAAUAGUUUUCACCUUCUCAAAAAGCCUGUUUGUGAUAUAUUGUAACCAGCCUUGUUCAGGUCUACAAUGUUGACGCUGACAGCUUUUGACUCAUCUUUCGUAUUGCCCAAGAUGGACUAGACAUUUGAAGAAGAACAGGAACACAGAAUUUAUAGCCAACCUGAUCGACAGCGAAACCUGUUUCCACAUCCAUCCGCUAGGGGGCAGCCCUUUGUCAGGUCACAGGACCUGGUUUCUGUUCGAUCCCCAUCACAUGGGUUCCUUCCGAACUGUGCAUACACUAGUAUCCUUCGACUUCUGGUCUGUGGUGUCACAUGUGGUGCCAAGAUAAUGUGAAGAAAUAAAAGUAAAAGAAACAUG